UUCAUGCAUCCAUAUCCUACGAAACCUCGGAAAUUGGAAAAUCAUUAGCAAAUUGCAGACAUAUAUAGUUAUGGCCGCCUCUAAUUUCUCUCUAAGGUUCAUACUUGUGGCCGUGUUUGUUUCUGUUAUCUUCAUCUGGAUCAUGGCAGCCAAUCCGUCCGAGGCUGCUCGAGAACUGCUUAAGGCUAACAGCACCGCCGGAAUGUAUUGCCCGGACGACUGUGUUGGGUGUUGCGAGCCACCGCCGCCGGGCUCAUGCUGCCUCAAGUGCGGUUGUUGAAUAUGGGGCUCGACUUUAGUCGUCCCAGUUAAGAUGGUCAGACAGUGAACAAACAGCUGCGGAUUUUGUUGUAAAAACAACUCAUACAUACACUACAAAUAUAUUGUUUGUAUCAUUAUGUUUUUGAGUAAUUUAUUUUUAAGAAUGUAAUGAACUUCUUGAAGUUGUGUCUUUUGCUAGUUGUUUAGUGAAUUAUAUAUGUCUUCUGAUUUGAUUAUUUCAAACUAUUGCAUUGCUACCAUA